CUGGAAUACGCCCUACGUAGGGUGCGCCCUCGUGGGCCCGUCCCGCGUGGCUUGCUCACGUCCACACGAUUUGAAUUACAAGGGCAGUAGUGUAAUUGCAAAGUUAACUUUCGUUAUCAGUAAAAUGGCUGCCGUUAGUGUAGAAAGCCGAGGGUAUUAAUGUAAUAUGCGAAACAAGGUAAAAGUUUGUGUUAUCAUCUUCAUCUUUCUUCAUUUCUUGUUCACGAAGUGUCUGCUAUUCACAGGGUGAGGGUCACCUGCUGUCUGUUAACAGCGCGUGAGGUACAUAUAUGGGUUUCAGAUUAGGGCUGUUGUCAGUUUUCACGUUCUCACACACCCUCAACGCCUCCAAACUCCAAACCGAAGCCGACCCAAAAAAACCGUAGAUCUGCAACAGCGCUGGUGAAAUUGGAUUCAAAUGUUGGUGUUGAAGAUGGAACAGCUAUUGGGCUUGACGAAUGAGCAUGGAAAUCGAGAAGAUUGAUAGAAAAAGGCGAGAUCGUCUAGGGUCGGCCAUUGGCGUCCAUCGGAAGACCUCUUUUUUCAACUUCAAUUUCUAUCUGAUUGUUUGUGUAGCAGACUAGCAGGCAAGGUGACGAUGGCAAUAAGCUAUUGUGGCUGGACAGGGUGACCGGAAGGGUUUGCACGUCGAUUUCUGCAAAGGCCAUGGCUAUAACAGGGAUUGAGGAUCGGCGAUACUGGAACUGGAUUGCUACUGAAGAAUCAAGGAGUCAAAAAGUGGUAUGAACCAGAAUGGUGCAAGUUUGGUGAUAAAAAAUCGUAAUUUGUACUUCAACUUAUUUCAUCAUUUAAUUGAAAGUAGAUUAUAUUCUGAUCACUUGUAACUUCUUAUCAAAGAAUUAUAAUCAAAUUAUCUGGUGAGUUGUUCUGCUGAGUUCCUAAUAGCCAAUAUUUUCUUAUCAGGUUUAUGUUUUGUCAAUGGCUGAUAGUAUUUUUGAAAUGCAUGUUUAUAAGUUAAACCAUUUUGUGUUGUUUGUUAGAGAGAUUUGUUUUUAGUUUUGUUUUCUUUCUCGUCUCUUCACUAAAACUUGUGUUCAUUUAUUUGUCUACAGCUCCUAUCAUCAUUAGUUUUGUCAAGGAACAAGCACUACAAAAAAAGAAUUUAUGUAAUUGAUAUUUUCGCCAUGCUUCAUGUGAGAUGUAUGACAUUUCUCAAGGUCUGGCCAAAUUUGUUUGAAUAAAUGGAGAUAUUCUCCGUAUCAGUGUCGGAUCUUGGUUUAUUGGGCUUGAUGUUAAACAUCUUAAUGACGCCAAGUUUUGCUGCUCCUCUUGGACAGGAGGAGCCAUUUGUGCUGGUGUAUGAUUUGAUUUGCUUUGAGGUGGUGGAUCAAAGUAAAACCAGAUGCAGGGAGAUGGUUUAAAAGACAUUGGAUUCAUAUCGGUGAGAUGUUUGCAGCCUGCACAAUAUAGAGUAUGAAGAUUGAGGAAAAAUCAUAGCUGUGAUUGAGAAUUUAUUCCAAGUGUCUUAACCGUAGGUGAAGUAGCUUUGUUCCCAUUACAGUACACUGCAGAUAGGAAAGAAGGGAUUUGAACAAACUAUGCCUAGAGAGGGCAGUCGGUAUAGCUUUAUAUGUUCAGUAACACAAAUUUUAGUGUAAUAGAGGGUGUUCUUAUUGCAACAUAAUCACAUUUCUUUUGUAGCAUGUUGAUUCGCCUUGGGUUAUUCUUUAUUCAGAGCAGUAAAAAUUUUGGAUUUCAAAGGAAAAUAUGUACUCAUCUCUGGAAUGAUGGUCAAGAUUGGGAAAAAUCAUAGCUGUGAUUGAGAAUUUAUUCCAAGUGUCUUAACCGUAGGUGAAGUAGCUUUGUUCCCAUUACAGUACACUGCAGAUAGGAAAGAAGGGAUUUGAACAAACUAUGCCUAGAGAGGGCAGUCGGUAUAGCUUUAUAUGUUCAGUAACACAAAUUUUAGUGUAAUAGAGGGUGUUCUUAUUGCAACAUAAUCACAUUUCUUUUGUAGCA